rnacentral:misc_RNA from 1 species
GGAAAGGCAAAACAAAUCUAGCAUUUCUAUACUAUAAAACUGACAUUGACAAAUUGUAUUUAAAAAAUUUAAAAUCAAUAUUUCAAGUAAAAAAAUUCCAGAUCAGAUAUGUUACAUCAGAUGACCCAAGAACUGCUAAAAUCAGAAACAAACAUAGUCACAUGAAAACUGCCUGCAUGCCUAACUAAUAUUAGACAAGGAACAAAACCAUUAAGUAGUGAAAACACUAGGCAUUUCAUUUCAGUUAAAAAGAGUAGAGAAAUUCACAUACUUCAUUCAUGUCAUUUUGACUU